rnacentral:lncRNA from 1 species
AACUCUUCUUAGCCAUUGUCCCAACCUUAUAUCAGCUUCUCAUCUCUUCUGAAGCUUCAUAGAACUCUUCUUAAGAUCUUCAAGAGCUUGCCCCUAUUUAUGCACAAGCUCCAUUCUUCUCUUCAGUUCAACACUCCCCCUCAAGCUUGACUUUAGUUGAUCCUAAGUCAAGCUUGGAACCCUGAAGAACUUCCUCAUUAAAAACCUCACCAAGGAAAACCCUUUGGGACAAAACCUUGAUGAGGGAAAAAGAGUAAAGUCUCCAAGGCCUAGGGAUUGGCCAGUGAGUCUUUGUGCCUUACCAACAAUGUAAGGGACACAAAGACUCUGGAUCAUGGCCUCUACAAUCACCCCCACGCCUUGUACUCUCCUUACUGCCUAAUCUUGGUCUCUCCCCCUUCCACCUAACCUCUUGUUAGGUUGAAGUGCUCGGACACACCAGAUCAGCUUCUUCUUGGAGAUACAACUUCUUCUUACUGAGUCUUGGCUGCUUCUUCUUCUUCUAGAGUAACCACCAAGCUCUCUUGGAUCAUGUAAGCUUCAACACUCCCCCUCAAGCUUGAGACUCUCACAGGAACAAGCUUGAAUGGAUUGCUUCAUGAUCCUCACACACACACCAUUGCAGCUUCUCUUCUGAUCUUGCCAUCUUCAUGGAAUGCUUGUGGAAGCUUCAGCUAUCUCUCCAAUCACUUCACACUAGAAGCCGCCUUGAUAGAGUUGCCUUCAUCUUCUCACAGCCAAGAGUACUCUGUCUUAGUUUGAGUACUCUCUUGAAUAGACUCGCCACAGCCUAAGCCCGGAUGGCUCCUUCUUCAGAUGCUUGCAAUGGACUUCUUGGAUCGCUUGGAAGCUCACUCAACUCCCCUCCUCAAGCUUGGAUUGAGUAUAGGUCCAAGCUUGCAAGUGAGCUUCAGUGAGACUUCACACCAGUGGCACAUCACCACUCUUGUAUCAACUCUCCAUUGCUCCACACAAUGGGCAAAGUCUUCCUCUUUCAACUCGGAUGGAUGGUGAACCAAGAACACCUCUUGUGAACCUGAAACAUCACUCAAACUCCAGCAAAGAUAAGACACAAGUGCAUUGGGUCAACCCUUGAUGCAUCAUCAAGUUUGAACACCAAUGUCUUUAAGCAAUGCAACAGAUUAAACUAGACAUUUUCAAGUUCUAAUCUUUGCAAGCAAACUCUCUAAGCACUAGCAUGAUCCUAACAGAUUCACUACAAGCUACUUAGGCAAUUUUUAAAGCUUCUUUACUCAGCAUUUAGACAUGAAUCUAAUGCUUCAAUGUAAGACAGCCAUUUGACAGUAUGCACUAACCUUAAUCAGUUUUAAUUCAUGAAUGCAACAAUACAAUUCAUCACACAUUCAUUUAUAACUUAGGCUAAGCAUUACUAACAUCACUUAACAUCAGACAAUGCAUUACUUUCAAUCUGUUUUCAGUUCAUGAGCUUCAAACAAUAUCAUUUCACAUUUAGCAAACUCAUUACUUAACAGGAGCAAGCAUUUUACUCUUUAAACACUAAACAAGCCUUUAAAGCAUCCUGGGACAGAUUCAACUAAUUAUAUUUAGCAAUCACAUUAUCCUCAGGUUUAACAAUCACUACACAUCACAAUACACAACUCAUCUUAUCAUCUGCUCAUCAUCAAGAAGGUUUUAAGAAUCGUUUACCACAAGGAACCAGAUUGGUUCCUUAACCUUUCAUGAAACCGGCCAUGCUUUGUUGGACUUGAGAGUGUGAGUCGUCACCCACCUCCUUCACCUUCAGUUCAUGGCCUCCAUCUUGUACCAUCAGCUUCAAAGACCCCUCCUUUCUUCAUCUCCACUAGGCGCCAAGCUCUUGACACCAUCUUCUUUGGAACCGGAUGUGUUCUUCUCUUGGACAAGGCGCCUUGGUACAAGGAUAGCUAGGCCUUGUCCAUACACCUCUGCUUCCAAGGAGAAUCACCAUCAGGACAGGAAGAGAACAGGAUGAGGAACCAUGAGAACUCGCCAAGCUUCAGUCUUCUUCUUCAUAAGGAGCUGAACCGGAUGGAGAGAGCUUCAAUGGUUUGGAUUUGAGCUGAGGAGAGAGCAGUUUCCAGUUUCCCAGAUUGGGAAUAGGACAGCUUCUUCGUCAAUCCAAUCAAACCAGGAUGAAUCACUUUGUAAGAAGCUUGAUUUUGAUACAUAAAAUGGUGGAGAAACACCAGGAAGUUGAAUAAAUUAUGAGCUGUGGCUGUGUAUGUGUAUGAGAAGCCAUUAGAGGCAAAGAAUAAGGUCUUGAACUAGUUCAAUAAGAGGUCUGAUGAAACUAGUAUGAACUUGAAUCAGAAACAAAGAGACUUAGAGAAAUUAAGAGAUUAGAGACUAAGAAAGGGGUAGAUUAAGGGAAUCUGAUCAAGAACACACUUUUAUAUUUAUGAAGGAGAUGGGGAAAACCCCCAUACUCUCUUAAGAGUUUACAAUCGACCAUACAUCAGUUUAUAUAUGUUUUCACACUCUGAAACUCAUAAACCUAAAUCUGAUGGCUCUAAAUGACUUUGGGAAAUGGAUGGCUUGGAUGAGUCUUUGGAUCUGGUCAAGGUAGACUGAAUGGUGAUUGGUUCUCCCUUGCUGGCGCCUGAUUGCUUUACUUAAAGCUCCAUGUAUCUUCCCUCUCCUUUGGCCAGAUACAUGAUCUCUUCUUUGCCUUUACUUUACAGCUCACGCCAGCUUGCACAUUUGAAUUUGAACAAGCUGUAUGGAUAAGGUUUCUUAUCCAUAAACGGUCAAGAGAGCUCAGCACCUUCCUGGUUACUUCCUAAGGCAUCUCGGACAGUAUAUGCCUUUAGGAUCUUUGCUCUCUUGCCCACUUGUUCCCCAAACCUUCUUCAUGCCUUGUAUCACAAGUCUUCAUCAGCUGAGUGUACGGAUUAGGGUUGCUUCUCUCACAUUGCGCCCUAUCUUUGCACAACUCCAAAACAUCCCAAGACUUGAUAGAAACUCUUUUGGAUCAGCCAUGUCCUUCCCGGGCCGUACCAUCCGUACAUGGCCGUACAUGGCUGUCCCUAUCUUUGCACCAUCUACCUUUCUCUCCUUAACUCAUCCAAAGACUACUCCACUUCUAUCUGAACUCUUCUUAGCCAUUGUCCCAACCUUAUAUCAGCUUCUCAUCUCUUCUGAAGCUUCAUAGAACUCUUCUUAAGAUCUUCAAGAGCUUGCCCCUAUUUAUGCACAAGCUCCAUUCUUCUCUUCAGUUCAACACUCCCCCUCAAGCUUGACUUUAGUUGAUCCUAAGUCAAGCUUGGAACCCUGAAGAACUUCCUCAUUAAAAACCUCACCAAGGAAAACCCUUU